rnacentral:rRNA from 1 species
ACGAAGGGUGCAAGCGUUACUCGGAAUUACUGGGCGUAAAGGGUGCGUAGGUGGUUUUUUAAGUCUGCUGUGAAAUCCCCGGGCUCAACCCGGGAAAUGCUUCUGAUACUGGCGGACUUGAGGCCAGUAGGGGUCACUAGAACUGACGGUGGAGCGGUGAAAUGCGUAGAGAUCGGGAGGGAGGCCGGUGGCGAAGGCGGCGCUCUGGAACAUUUCUGACGCUGAGGCUCGAAAGCGUGGGGAGCAAACAGGA